rnacentral:rRNA from 1 species
UACGGGGGGAGCAAGCGUUGUUCGGAUUUACUGGGCGUAAAGGGCGCGUAGGCGGUCAGCACAAGUCAGUUGUGAAAUCUCCGGGCUUAACUCGGAAAGGUCAACUGAUACUGUGCGACUAGAGUGCAGAAGGGGCAACUGGAAUUCUCGGUGUAGCGGUGAAAUGCGUAGAUAUCGGGAGGAACACCGGUGGCGAAGGCGGCGACCUGGGGUAGAUACUGACGCUGAGGUGCGAAA